AGUGAACGCUGGCGGUAGGCCUAACACAUGCAAGUCGAACGGCAGCACAGGAGAGCUUGCUCUCUGGGUGGCGAGUGGCGGACGGGUGAGGAAUACAUCGGAAUCUACUCUGUCGUGGGGGAUAACGUAGGGAAACUUACGCUAAUACCGCAUACGACCUACGGGUGAAAGCAGGGGACCUUCGGGCCUUGCGCGAUUGAAUGAGCCGAUGUCGGAUUAGCUAGUUGGCGGGGUAAAGGCCCACCAAGGCGACGAUCCGUAGCGGGUCUGAGAGGAGGAUCAGCCACAGUGGAACUGAGACACGGGCCAGACUCCUACGGGAGGCAGCGGUGGGGAAUAUUGGACAGUGGGCGCAAGCCUGAUCCAGCCAUACCGCGUGGGUGAAGAAGGCCUUCGGGUUGUAAAGCCCUUUUGUUGGGAAAGAAAUCCAGCUGGCUAAUACCCGGUUGGGAUGACGGUACCCAAAGAAUAAGCACCGGCUAACUUCGUGCCAGCCGCCGCUGUAA
rnacentral:rRNA from 1 species